rnacentral:rRNA from 1 species
AGUGAACGCUGGCGGCAGGCCUAACACAUGCAAGUCGAACGAGUGGCGGACGGGUGAGUAAUGUCUGUGAAACUGCCUGAUGGAGGGGGAUAACUACUGGAAACGGUAGCUAAUACCGCAUACCAUCAGAUGUGCCCAGAUGGGAUUAGCUAGUUGGUGGGGUAACGGCUCACCAAGGCGACGAUCCCUAGCUGGUCUGAGAGGAUGACCAGCAACACGUGAACUAGGACACGGUCCAGACUCCGACGGGAGGCAGGAGUGGAGAAUAUUGGACAAUGGGCGCAAGCCUGUUGCAGCCAUGCCGCGUGUAUGAAGAAGGCCUUCGGGUUGUAAAGUACUUUCAGCGGGGAGGCGUUACCCGCAGAAGAAGCACCGGCUAACUCCGUGCCAGCAGCCGCGGUAAUUC